UGCCUAUGAACCACAGCAAUGAACAGCAUGACAAGAUGUUCCUAAAGGUACAGUAGUGUCACUUACAUCUUGGCAGUAACUGUGUAAUUGGACUUAGGGCUUGCUCAGUAGAAGGUAAGUCUCACACUUGGUACUGUAAACUUAGCCAGCUAUAUGUUGCUGGUACAGUAUGGAACUUAGAAGAAAUCUUGUUCCUGAUACUUUCUUUAACCAUUGAAAUUCCUAAGUAUGUUAUAAUCUUUAUACCCAGAGGUUAUGUGUAGAUCUUAGCCCUCAUCAAAGAAGCUUUUGUUUUACAAAGGAAGAAGAACAUUGCAGAAAACACAACUGGUCAAAAUAAACAGAGAAAAACUUACUGUGAGGUGCCUAGCCACAACUGACGUGUCUAUAACACCAAUUCUACUAUCUACGGCUUAGGGAACAUUGAGAAAUAGAGGGAAGAAAUGGUGUAAGAGCCAGAGGAUGAGAAGCCUGCAGUGAAAUAGAGCUUCCUAUAUAUGACAGGGAAGCUGCACCAAUGAGAACGUUACAGUGGCUGCCUGACCAACACCUGAACAAUGGCAACACCAAGUGACUUGCCAAUGUGGAUUUAGGAAAUCGCAUGGACCUCUACCCCAAGAGCUUUUCUCUGUGUAUAAAAUCUGGUUGUCCUGGAACUCACCAUGUAGACCCAGGAUAUCCUUGAGCUUAGAGAUCGACCUGUUCUUCCUAAAGACAGCAGCCUGGCAUGGCUGUCCUCUGAGAGGCCCUAUCAGCAUCUGACUGAGACAGAAGGAGAUGUAUACACCCAACCAUUGGACUGAAGUCAGGGACCUCUAUGGUUGAAUUAGGGGAAAGACUGAAGAAGCUGAAAGGAAGCGAGACCCCAUAGGAAGACCAGCAGUCUCAACUAACCAUGACCCCAGGGAGCCCCCCAGGGACUGAGACACCAAUCAGGCAGCAUACACAGACUGGUCCAAAACCCCCAGCACAUAUAAAGCAGAGGACUGCCUGGUCUGACUUCAGUGGAAGAAGAUGCACCUAAUCUUUGAAAGACCUGAGGCCCCAGUGAAGAGGGAGGCCUGGUGGUGGGAGGGAACACCCUCUCAGAGGGAGGAGGAAGAAGGAGUGGGAUGAAGAAAUGUGGGAGGGGGGACUGGGAUAUGGGGCAACAGCUGGAAUGUCAAUAAAAAA
rnacentral:lncRNA from 1 species